rnacentral:rRNA from 1 species
UACAGAGGGUGCGAGCGUUAAUCGGAAUUACUGGGCGUAAAGGGUGCGUAGGCGGCAUUUUAAGUCAGAUGUGAAAGUCCCGGGCUUAACCUGGGGAGAGCAUAUGAAACUGAAGAGCUAGAGUAUGGUAGAGGGAAGCGGAAUUUCCGGUGUAGCGGUGAAAUGCGUAGAUAUCGGAAGGAACACCAGUGGCGAAAGCGGCUUUCUGGACCAAUACUGACGCUGAGGCACGAAAGCGUGGGUAGCGAACAGG